GGUCAAUGGGUGAUCAUGAAGACUCAUGGCCUAGGUUGGUGACCUCCAUUGCACUUAGGAGGGGUGCCCGCCUAAGGUCUGCCCAAAGUGGCAGAGCCUACGUCAUAAUUUGUGGCAGUGGAGGCCUGCGUUCGCGCGGCCUCUUCCCAAUCUUAAGUCUAAGUGCUUCUCCAAUUCUUUUACCUCAAUAAGUCUAUACUCCUAAGGCUGGAUUGUUUGAACUUGCAUCUGUGCCGCCCCAUUUCUCCGGCAAGUGCAACGAUGGCGUCUACGAAUUCUAUAAAGUGCCUGACUGUUGAAGAUGUCUUGCCUUCUCAUUUCACCAGUAACACAUUUUCGACGGAUUAUGUUCCGACUGUUCUUUGUGAUUUCAGCGCCAAUGUUUUGGUUAAUCGGCAGUUCUUAAUUAGGGAUUCAAGGACACUGCUGGUAUAGGAUUUGGUUAUCUGAAAAGGUUAUAUAUCAAGUACCAAGAGGAAAUUGAGAUGGACUUUGAGUCGAGAGUCGAGACUAUAUUUCAAAUGUUUUCUUCUCAGAAUAUGUGUUCCAAAUCUUUCCAGUUUGUGAGCUACUCCAUAGAUUGUUUCGGUAUUCUUCUUCACUUGUUUCUUUUCCCAUUGACAAUAAUCAGUUUAGGUCUCUUUCCUCCUAAAUUUAUUGGUAUAGUUGGAAGGGAAAUCCAGUGGAAAAAUAAAGAGCUGAAGGCACUCAAUGACAUUGUCUAAACAUUGUUCUAACAACUCAAGUAAUCUCAAGCCCACUGCGAUCAAAUAUUGUCUUUUUUGGGUUUUCCCUCAAAAUUUUUAUAAUGCGUCUGUUAGAGAGAGAUUUCUACACCCUUAUAAAUAAUGUUUCGCUUUCCUCCUCAAUCGAAGUGGGAUCUUACAAUCUAUCCCCCUUCAGGGUCGGCCCAACGUCACUCGUUCCUCUCUUCCAAUCGAUGUGGGAUCUCACAGUUGUUUUCUAGAAAUAUGGAAUGAUGGAAAGCUUGAUAGACAAUCUUAACUUGCAAACUAAGUGUAGCUCAACUGGUUAAAUGCAUAAUUUCUCGACUAGGAGGUCAAAAGUUUGAAUUUUUCCAUUCCCACGAGUUCUUGAACUAAAAAAGAAGAGAAGUCAACCCUAGCUUCAAAGCCUCUUCAUUUAAAUGAUCAUGAUGAAAAGUCCAAAGGCUCCUCUCAAGAUCCACACUCAUCGAGAUUAGAGAAAGAUUUUAAACCGAAGUCUCCGAAGAAGGCAUCUCCUGAGUAAGAGAGAGACUACUAGGACACAAUCCAUACUUAGAGGCCACUAUAUUUCCGAAAUUUCCACAACUGCAAGGAGCAUUAGCAAUGACCCUUUGAAUAGGUGUCUCUACUAUCUUGCUCGGAUCAAACUUUUGUCUUUGGUCCAUUUUAAAUUGGGUACUCCAAUCUUUAAGAAAACGAUAAUGCCACUGCAUCAAGUUAAGAUAAUUUGAACUGUCUAACUGAUACCAAGGUGGAGUGUGAAUGUUAAAAGGACAGUGUUCUGAUUGGCAGUCCUACUCUUGUUCCUCAAUGUUCUUUGCAUUGUGUGAUAGUGUUCUGAUAGGCAGUCCUAUCCUGUUGCUUGGGAUGGCCGAUCUGAGAGACGGCAGACUAUCCUGGGGUUGGAUCGACUAUCUUGGACUAUUAAGUUUUAUUGUUGAGGAUUAUUGAGAUGAGUAGUUAUGGAUUGACUAAUUAAGAGGAAAAUCAUAGAUAUAUAAGUACGAAACACUAUCUCUGUUGGUAUGAGGCUUUUUGGGGAAACCAAAAGCAAAAUCAUGAGAGCUUAUGCUCAAAGUGGACAAUAUUAUAUCAUUGUGGAGAGCCGUGGUUUCUAACAUAGUAUCAGAGUCAUAUUUUUAACCUAGUCAUGCCAAUAAAAUCCUCAAGUGUUGAGCAAAAAAGUUGCGCGUCUCGAAAAUGUAGUCAAAAGUGACUCAAGUAUCGAACAAAAGAUGUAUUUUGUUCAAGUGCUCCAGAGAAGGAGUCGAGCUUCAAUUAAGGUGAGGUUGUUCGAGCUCGAGGUGUACUUUGUUGGAGGAAAGGAUUUGAGAGGAGUAGUCUCACAUUGGCUAAUUAAGAGGAAAGAUCCUGGCUUAUUAGAUCCAUUAGAAUAGUGGCUUAUAUUGUAACAACCUAAGCUCACCUCGGGUAGAUAUUGUCCUCUUUGGGCUUUUACUUUCAUGUUUCCCCUUGGCUAUUAGAUCCAUUAGAAUAGUGGCUUAUAUUGUAAUAACCUAAGCCAACUUCUGGUAGAUAUUGUCUCUUUGGGCUUUUACUUUCAUGCUUUCCCCUCAAGGUCUUAAAACGCAUCUAUUAGGAAGAGAUUUCCACGCCCUUUUAAGAAAUGCUUCGUUAUCCUCUCCAACCUAUGUGG